UGACGGGACCCGCACAAGCGUGGAGCAUGUGGUUUAAUUCGACGAUACGCGAAGAACCUUACCUGGCCUUGACAUACUAAAAAGCUUUAAGAGAUUAGAGUGUGCUAGCUUGCUAGAAUUUAGAUACAGGUGCUGCACGGCUGUCGUCAGCUCGUGUCGUGAGAUAUUGGGUUAAGUCCCGCAACGAGCGCAACCCUCGUGUUUAGUUGCUAACAGUUCGGCUGAGAACUCUAAACAGACUGCCUACGCAAGUAGGAGGAAGGUGAGGACGACGUCAAGUCAUCAUGGCCCUUACGGCCAGGGCUACACACGUGCUACAAUGGGGUAUACAAAGAGCAGCGAUACGGUGACGUGGAGCAAAUCUAGAAAAUGCCUCUCAGUUCGGAUUGUAGUCUGCAACUCGACUACAUGAAGUUGGAAUCGCUAGUAAUCGUAGAUCAGCAAUGCUACGGUGAAUACGUUCCCGGGUCUU
rnacentral:rRNA from 1 species